ACGGCUCCAUACGGCAUUGUUCUUGAUUCCCGUCGUAACUUAAAGGGAAACUUACACAAUGUCCGGAGGCCUUGACGUCCUGCAAAUGAAGGAGGAAGAUGUCCUCAAAUUCCUUGCUGCAGGAACCCACUUAGGUGGCACCAGUCUUAACUUUCAGAUGGAGCAAUACAUCUACAAAAGGAAGAGUGACGGUAUCUACAUCAUCAGUCUGAAGAGGACCUGGGAGAAGCUGUUGCUCGCAGCUCGAGCUAUUGUUGCCAUCGAGAACCCUGCUGAUGUCAGCGUCAUCUCCUCCAGGAACACUGGCCAGCGAGCUGUGCUCAAGUUUGCUGCUGCCACAGGCGCCACUCCUAUUGCCGGCCGCUUCACACCUGGGACCUUCACUAACCAGAUCCAAGCAGCCUUCAGGGAGCCACGGCUUCUAGUGGUGACUGAUCCCAGGGCGGACCACCAGCCCCUCAUGGAGGCCUCUUAUGUCAACCUGCCCACCAUUGCUCUGUGUAACACAGAUUCUCCUCUGCGCUAUGUGGACAUUGCCAUCUCAUGCAACAACAAGGGAGCUUACUCAGUGGGUCUGAUGUGGUGGAUGCUGGCCAGGGAAGUACUCCGCAUGCGAGGUACUAUCUCCCGUGAGCACCCAUGGGAGGUUAUGCCUGAUCUUUACUUCUACAGAGACCCAGAGGAGAUUGAGAAGGAGGAGCAGGCUGCUGCGGAGAAGGCUGUGACCAAGGAGGAGUUCCAGGGCGAAUGGAUCGCACCAGCUCCUGAGUUCACUGCUGCUCAGCCUGAGGUCGCCGACUGGUCUGAGGGUGUACAAGUACCCUCUGUGCCCAUCCAGCAGUUCCCGACGGAAGACUGGAGUGCACAGCCAACCACUGAGGACUGGUCAGCAACUCCCACAGCGCAGGCCACCGAGUGGGUUGGAGCCACCACUGAGUGGUCCUGAGCCGCUGCAGACACCUGAGCAGAGGGAAAGGUGGAAGGAAAAUAAAGUUCCUAAAAGCUGAAAAAAAAAAAAAAAAAAAAA